rnacentral:rRNA from 1 species
UGGUAAUACCGGAUGCUCCGCUCCAUCGCAUGGUGGGGUGGGAAAUGCUUUUGCGGCAUGGGAUGGGGUCGCGUCCUAUCAGCUUGUUGGCGGGGUGAUGGCCCACCAAGGCGUUGACGGGUAGCCGGCCUGAGAGGGUGACCGGCCACAUUGGGACUGAGAUACGGCCCAGACUCCUACGGGAGGCAGCAGUGGGGAAUAUUGCACAAUGGGCGCAAGCCUGAUGCAGCGACGCCGCGUGCGGGAUGGAGGCCUUCGGGUUGUAAACCGCUUUUGUUCAAGGGCAAGGCACGGUUUCGGCCGUGUUGAGUGGAUUGUUCGAAUAAGCACCGGCUAACUACGUGCCAGCAGCCGCGGUAAUACGUAGGGUGCGAGCGUUAUCCGGAUUUAUUGGGCGUAAAGGGCUCGUAGGCGGUUCGUCGCGUCCGGUGUGAAAGUCCAUCGCCUAACGGUGGAUCUGCGCCGGGUACGGGCGGGCUGGAGUGCGGUAGGGGAGACUGGAAUUCCCGGUGUAACGGUGGAAUGUGUAGAUAUCGGGAAAGAAC